rnacentral:rRNA from 1 species
UACGGAGGGGGCUAGCGUUGUUCGGAAUUACUGGGCGUAAAGCGCACGUAGGCGGCUUUGUAAGUUAGAGGUGAAAGCCCGGAGCUCAACUCCGGAAUUGCCUUUAAGACUGCAUCGCUCGAAUCAUGGAGAGGUGAGUGGAAUUCCGAGUGUAGAGGUGAAAUUCGUAGAUAUUCGGAAGAACACCAGUGGCGAAGGCGACUCACUGGUCCGGUUCUGACGCUGAGGCGCGAAAGCGUGGGGAGCAAACAGG